rnacentral:rRNA from 1 species
UGGGGAAUAUUGCACAAUCGGCGCAAGCCUGAUGCAGCCAUGCCGCGUGUGUGAAGAAGGCCUUCGGGUUGUAAAGCACUUUCAGCGGGGAGGAAGGCGGUGAGGUUAAUAACCUCAUCGAUUGACGUUACCCGCAGAAGAAGCACCGGCUAACUCCGUGCCAGCAGCCGCGGUAAUACGGAGGGUGCAAGCGUUAAUCGGAAUUACUGGGCGUAAAGCGCACGCAGGCGUUCUGUCAAGUCGGAUGUGAAAUCCCCGGGCUCAACCUGGGAACUGCAUUCGAAACUGGCAGGCUAGAGUCUUUUAGAGGGGGGUAGAAUUCCAGGUGUAGCGGUGAAAUGCGUAGAGAUCUGGAGGAAUACCGGUGGCGAAGGCGGCCCCCUGGACAAAGACUGACGCUCAGGUGCGAAAGCGGGAUGAGCAAACAGG